GCCACCGUGGACCGUGGUGGUCGCCGUCCAAUAGUGAAUGAAGUUUGGCCGACGGUUGACUGACGGAGGCGGAGGUUCGAUUCCUCCCGGUGGCA